CGCGGGAUAGAGCAGUUUGGUAGCUCGUCGGGCUCAUAACCCGAAGGUCACAGGUUCAAAUCCUGUUUCCGCAACCA
rnacentral:tRNA from 1 species